rnacentral:misc_RNA from 1 species
AAGACCAUGGAAUUUGAAACUGCUAUGGAGCGUUUUUGAGAAAAUGCUGGAACAUGGUUGUUCACCUAAUGCUAACACGUACGGGAAGCUUAUUAUAGGACUUUGCAAAGUGGGGCGCAUGGGAGUGGCCCAGAGCUUAUUUGAUCAUAUGCAUGAACGAGGAAUAUGUCCCAGUGAAGGUAUUUAUAAUUCUCUUCUCAACUGUUGCUGUAAGCUUGGAAUGUAUGGUGAUGCAGUGAGACUGGCAGAGGCUAUGAUGGAGGAUGGUCAUUUACCACUUCUAGAGUCUUUGAAUUCACUUGUCUGCAGGCUAUAUGAUGAAGGGAACAAAGUGAAGGCUAAAGUACUUUUCUGUAAUUUGCUUCAUUGUGGGUAUAAUUAUGAUGAAGUAGCUUGGAAAAUCCUCAUUGAUGGCUUGCUUAAGAAUGGCCUUACUGAUGGAUGCUCUGAAUUGCUGGGCAUCAUGGAGGCAAAGGGUUGCCAGAUUCAUCCGCAAACAUAUAGAAUGUUAAUUGAAGGACUUGAU